CCUACGGGAGGCAGCAGUGGGGAAUAUUGGACAAUGGGGGGAACCCUGCUCCAGCGACGCCGCGUGCGUGAAGAAGUAUUUCGGUAUGUAAAGCUCUAUCAGCCGGGAAGAAAGAACUGACGGUACCUGACUAAGAAGCCCCGCCUAACUACGGGCCAGCAGCCGCGGGAAUACGGGGGGGGCAAGCGUUAUCCGGAUUUACUGGGUGUACAGGGAGCGUAGGCGGCGAUGCAAGUCUGAAGUGAAAGGCGGGGUGCCAACCCCCGGACUGCUUUGGAAACUGGAUGGCUGGAGUGCAGGAGAGGUAAGUGGAAUGCGUAGUGUAGCGGGGAAAUGCGUAGAUAUUAGGAGGAACACCAGUGGCGAAGGCGGCUUACUGGACUGUAACUGACGUUGAGGCUCGAAAGCGUGGGGAGCAAACAGGAUUAGAUACCCGAGUAGUC
rnacentral:rRNA from 1 species